ACACAAGAAAGUCAAGACGGAGCCGCCCCGACAGCAGCAGCCCCCCGCCUCCCGUCGCAGGUUGGAUAGAUCCGACCCGAGGUCUCCUCUCCUUGUCUUGAGUUCUUCGUAGACAGAAAUACUUCGCCAUGAGAAGGGGAAAGGAUUACUCAAGGAGCCCCACCCGAUGAGGAGCCCGCGAGAGCUCGCGGACCGCUCGAAAUGCUGUCGUUUUCAUCGGC
rnacentral:lncRNA from 1 species